GUUGCCUCAGAGACGCCAGUUGAAGGAGAAGAAACUUCGCCUCCUCGACAGAACGUCGACACUGCCACUCCUCCAAGCCCCCGAGCCCCUUUGUCGAAAAGGGCGAGGACGGAGAUCAUCCCGGAGCCUACUCUCCAAUUGAGUAGCUCCUCUAACCCUCUCUUGGAGGAUCCUUUGAUAAAGGAUCUUCUUCGCAUCGGUACCCAAUUUGUCGGGUACCGUGAAUAUGCUAGUAGAACUGAAGAAAAACUGGCGGAAGCCAAUGAACGUGCCAACACACUUGCUCAACAAUUAGAGCAAAGUGAAAAGGCUCGCAAAGAGGCUGAGUCAGAUGCUGUUGGUGCGCGAGCAGAGGCUGAUAAGGCCAAGGCUGAUGCUGCUGGUGUCGAAGAUCUCCGGAAGAGACUUCACGAUGCCGAAACUUCGCUGAGUGAACAUAUAACUGCUCAAUCUGCCC